GCCUGGGAUAGCUCAGUCGGUAGAGCAUGAGACUCUUUGUAUCAGGGUCAUAGGUUCAAACCCCACAUUGGGCA
rnacentral:tRNA from 1 species